rnacentral:lncRNA from 1 species
ACACUAAGCUAUGACUUGGAGACAAAGGCCAAGUCAAGCCCCACUGUGAGAUUCAAUGAUUCCUUGGUGGAGAAAGAAGCAUUUGAUGUGGAGCCUGACACACCUCCACUGUAUCCCAAGGGCCUAUCUCAUGAAGGGAGGGGAAGAAAUAUCUAGCACAGCUGCUUCCGAAUUCCCUGGCUGGUCUGAGAACUGUGUGAAGCUGUGAUGGAACCCCCUGGAGAUGUUCUGCAGCUCCAGGCCUCACUUCACAGACUCACUGCAGGGGAGAAGAGGGAUUAAAUCCUGAAGUGAAGAUUCCUACUGGGCUUGAGAAUGGAUGAACUAAUAAAUGAUUAAGAGUGGAGGCUACAGCUGUACACAGAUCAGAAUUGUAAAAAAUGAGCUUCGUGCUUGCUAGAGUGGACUAGAUGAGAUAUAUCUUAUUGUUAUUUGGAAG